UACGGGGGGGGCAAGCGUUGUUCGGAAUCACUGGGCGUAAAGGGCUCGUAGGCGGCCAACUAAGUCGGAUGUGAAAUCCCCAGGCUUAACUUGGGAACUGCAUCCGAUACUGGAUGGCUUGAAUCCGGGAGAGGGAUGCGGAAUUCCAGGUGUAGCGGUGAAAUGCGUAGAUAUCUGGAGGAACACCGGUGGCGAAGGCGGCAUCCUGGACCGGCAUUGACGCUGAGGAGCGAAAGCCAGGGGAGCAAACGGG
rnacentral:rRNA from 1 species